rnacentral:lncRNA from 1 species
AGGAAUGGCCCUGUGGACCUCUGUGAUGGGACAUCUGGUGGAAUCUCACAGGCAGUUCUGUGGCAAAGAUGGAUGAAAGCUAAGGACUCAUGAGGAAGCUGGAUAACUGAACAAAGCCAUGUACAAGAAUGGGAAGCCAGAAAAUGGGAUGGUGGAGUUUGAAUCAGGUGGACAGUUCUAAAAGUAAGUAGUGAAAAACAGUUGCUGUAGGUCAGUACAAAGUGGCAUGAAGAAAUUUUUAAAUUCAGAGUCCAGCAUGUAUUGUCUUCUGAUGCUUGAAUUAGUUGUAUUCUUGACAACACUUAAACGGGGUUUUUGUAAUGAUGUUGAUCAAAUGUCUGAGCUGAAAAUAACUUGUAGACAAUUUUUAACACUGAAGAACCCUGUGGCAGGCUACUAAGCAUAGUUGGGUCACAUGCAGCAUAUUUGUAAGAGGUAUUUUCUUUUAAUUCUAGCUACUGUGGUUGCAUGCUUUCAUUGGGAUGGCUUGCUUGGGUAAGAAGCCAUUGGGGGUCUUGAAUUCAAGAUGUAUUCUAUCCAGUAGUCAUUUGCAGUAUUCCUGUAUAACAUUUAACUUUUGAACAUGCAUGUGCUACCAUGGGUACUAAAUGGUGCCUUCAAUUUUUUUUCAGGUACAAAUGAUUUCGUAUAAAGGUACCACAUGUGGGUCCCUUUAACUGAAGGCAUGGCAAGCUCCACACAAGGUCCUUCAUUUCUGAAUUUCAAGGGCUCCUCUGACAAGUGGACAGUGCAGUGGGUGCACCUUUUCCAGAGGUGACUGGAUGGAUGCUUGAACAGAAGAUUUGCCAAAUAGACAUUGUGCUGUCAAGAAUUUUACCAUUAAAAGUGCAUUAUUGU